UACGUAGGGGGCAAGCGUUGUCCGGAAUUAUUGGGCGUAAAGCGCGCGCAGGCGGUUUUUUAAGGCUGGUGUUUAAGCCCGGGGCUCAACCCCGGUUCGCAUCGGAAACUGGAAGACUUGAGUGCAGGAGAGGAAAGUGGAAUUCCACGUGUAGCGGUGAAAUGCGUAGAGAUGUGGAGGAACACCAGUGGCGAAGGCGACUUUCUGGACUGUAACUGACGCUGAGGCGCGAAAGCGUGGGGAGCAAACAGG
rnacentral:rRNA from 1 species